CCUGCCCGUAGAGGCAUUGCAGGUGUGGCUGCUGUGUCACAUGCAACAGAGAGGAGAGAGGCUAUGGCUGUUCUCAGUAUUCUGACAUAUGAACAUCUGAAUGUUCAUAUUAGUACCCUAAUAGU
ensembl:snoRNA Gm23112 predicted gene, 23112